rnacentral:rRNA from 1 species
UACGGGGGGGGGUAAGCGUUGUUCGGAAUUACUGGGCGUAAAGGGCUCGUAGGCGGCCAACUAAGUCGGACGUGAAAUCCCUCAGCUUAACUGGGGAACUGCGUCCGAUACUGGAUGGCUUGGAUUUGGGAGAGGGAUGCGGAAUUCCAGGUGUAGCGGUGAAAUGCGUAGAUAUCUGGAGGAACACCGGUGGCGAAGGCGGCAUCCUGGACCAACAUUGACGCUGAGGAGCGAAAGCUAGGGGAGCAAACGGGG